rnacentral:rRNA from 1 species
GAUGAACGCUGGCGGCGUGCCUAAUACAUGCAAGUCGAGCGAACAGACGAGGAGCUUGCUCCUUUGACGUUAGCGGCGGACGGGUGAGUAACACGUGGGUAACCUACCUAUAAGACUGGGAUAACUUCGGGAAACCGAAGCUAAUACCGGAUAAUAUUUCGAACCGCAUGGUUCGAUAGUGAAAGAUGGCUUUGCUAUCACUUAUAGAUGGACCUGCGCCGUAUUAGCUAGUUGGUAAGGUAACGGCUUACCAAGGCAACGAUACGUAGCCGACCUGAGAGGGUGAUCGGCCACACUGGAACUGAGACACGGUCCAGACUCCUACGGGAGGCAGCAGUAGGGAAUCUUCCGCAAUGGGCGAAAGCCUGACGGAGCAACGCCGCGUGAGUGAUGAAGGUCUUCGGAUCGUAAAACUCUGUUAUUAGGGAAGAACAAACGUGUAAGUAACUGUGCACGUCUUGACGGUACCUAAUCAGAAAGCCACGGCUAACUACGUGCCAGCAGCCGCGGUAAUACGUAGGUGGCAAGCGUUAUCCGGAAUUAUUGGGCGUAAAGCGCGCGUAGGCGGUUUUUUAAGUCUGAUGUGAAAGCCCACGGCUCAACCGUGGAGGGUCAUUGGAAACUGGAAAACUUGAGUGCAGAAGAGGAAAGUGGAAUUCCAUGUGUAGCGGUGAAAUGCGCAGAGAUAUGGAGGAACACCAGUGGCGAAGGCGACUUUCUGGUCUGUAACUGACGCUGAUGUGCGAAAGCGUGGGGAUCAAACAGGAUUAGAUACCCUGGUAGUCCACGCCGUAAACGAUGAGUGCUAAGUGUUAGGGGGUUUCCGCCCCUUAGUGCUGCAGCUAACGCAUUAAGCACUCCGCCUGGGGAGUACGACCGCAAGGUUGAAACUCAAAGGAAUUGACGGGGACCCGCACAAGCGGUGGAGCAUGUGGUUUAAUUCGAAGCAACGCGAAGAACCUUACCAAAUCUUGACAUCCUUUGACCCUUCUAGAGAUAGAAGUUUCCCCUUCGGGGGACAAAGUGACAGGUGGUGCAUGGUUGUCGUCAGCUCGUGUCGUGAGAUGUUGGGUUAAGUCCCGCAACGAGCGCAACCCUUAAGCUUAGUUGCCAUCAUUAAGUUGGGCACUCUAAGUUGACUGCCGGUGACAAACCGGAGGAAGGUGGGGAUGACGUCAAAUCAUCAUGCCCCUUAUGAUUUGGGCUACACACGUGCUACAAUGGACAAUACAAAGGGCAGCGAAACCGCGAGGUCAAGCAAAUCCCAUAAAGUUGUUCUCAGUUCGGAUUGUAGUCUGCAACUCGACUACAUGAAGCUGGAAUCGCUAGUAAUCGUAGAUCAGCAUGCUACGAUGAAUACGUUCCCGGGUCU